AGCCCCAUGAAGACCCUAUAUGGGGUUUAACCCUGCCCAGUGAGUCAAUUAAACGGCCGCGUAAGCGCUAAGGUAGCAUAAUGAUUUGCCCCUUAAUUAGGGGCUGGUAUGAAUGGGUAAAUGGGGUAAACCUUUAUUUGCUGGAACCCUUUAAAUUAUAUUGAGUGUGAAAAUACACUCCUUUGAAAAAAAGACCAAAAGACCCUAGGAUCUUAAAUUAAAGGUAUUAUAUUUUAACUAUAAUUUUUAUUGGGGAAAUGGAGGAAAAUCAUCCUUUACGGCAAAAAUUUGGUCAAACCUUAGAGAAAAAAAGUUACCCUAGGGAUAACAGGCUAAUCUUUUUAGAAAGUCCAAAUUUACAAAAAGAACUAGCACCUCGAUGUUGGCUUAGGAGUAACUAUAGUGCAGCAGCUAUAGCUAAGGGCUUGUUCCGCCCACAGUUUCCU
rnacentral:rRNA from 1 species